CAUUACCUGGGUGAUCCAAAGAAGUCUGAGAAAGAAUGAUCAAAUAGGAAGAAGAACCAGGAGAGAACAGAGCACAAGCACCUUCUUUGAUCCGGGCAUGCUGUGCUGAGCAGUCCUUUGCUAGCAUCUCCUAUGUCAUGCAAUCAGUUCCAAAGUUCUUCAGAGAGACUUUGAGAGUCUCCUUGUAUCACUUCUUCUGACUACCAUAGCCUCCCAAACACUGAGCUAGCUCUGGCAAUACGUAUGUCAGCCUCAUUAUCAAUGUGGACAUCCCUAGAAAGCAUACUGCCAAGGAAAACUUACAUCAAUGAGUGCACAAGAUCCUUUUCAGUCUUGGAUGGGCCAUCGCUAUGCAUAGCACCCGGUUCUCCAUUCCAGCCCGUGAUGAUGGAUGCAUCCAGUUUUCCUUUGCUGCUAAGAUCCUUUAAGCACUUCCUCUCAAAUCUGUAAUUGCUAAUUCUUCUCCAGAAACCGGGCAGCAGCCUAUCAGCUUAGGACAAACCAGAGCCCUCGUAGAUAAAGAAGUUGAUGCCAAAGCUCCCCUCCUGUAGAGUCACUUCAUUUUUCUCUGGAAUUUGCUCAUCUGUAAACGGAAAGAAUCCCAGAAAAUCAUAGGAUGCUGCAGUUGGCACUCAGUCCAAACCAUCCUUGUGAAAGAGUCCCCACUACAAUUUGUUGGGGGGGUGGGGAGUGACAAGCAGUUGACGGGCUUCUAUGCCUGAAGACUUUUAGCCCCCCUGGCCCAAGGCAGCCCAUUCCACUUUUGGACAACUCAAAUCACCAGACUGGUUUUUCCUGACUUCAAGACUAAAUUUGCCUCUUUGCUAUUUCUACCCACUGGUCCUAAUUCUGUCUCCUGGGGCCAGUGGAAAAGGAAGUGAGCUUCUGAAGGAGAAAAUUACGUGACAAAAAUGACCAGAGAAGGAAACACUUAAGGUGAAUGAGGAGAAGGAAAUCAUGAAGACAAUUUGAGGGCAUUGAACUUGUGAACAAGCCUGGAGACUAAAUUUGGGGAAUAGAAAUUGGGAGAAUUGGAAGAAAAUCAAAAGAUAAGAAAGAUAGCUCAGCCUGAAGGAAGAAAAGAAUUGAAGAAAAGGAAUUGAAGAAGAACAGAAGGGAAGAGAAGCAAGGGAGGAAGAAGAGGCGAUUCAAAUGCCUGUUCAUUUCCUAUUCCUUUUCAUCCAGUUUUAUCAGCCUAGGUGUAUGUUAUUUAUCACUUCCACCUCCCCACAGUCUUUCAGUCCUAUCCAGGUCAGAGCUACUCCUCUCUUGCCCCAUUUCAUUUCUUUCCCUUCCAUUCAGAGCCCAUAGAACCACCUAUAUGGCUUUUGGGACUCUCUCUCUAUUCUUAACAAAACUUUCCAUUCCUUUGGACCUGCUCUUUGACACUCCCUCCACCUCAUUUUAUUUGAAAUUGAACCUUCACCCAAGGGUCUCUACAAUCCUCAAAUCUUCCUCCGUUUUCGGCUAUUGCAUCUCUUAUUCACCCUUGUCUUGCAUUGCCAAGGAGAAGGAUGCAGAUGCCCCUCGCUCUCUCUCCAGACCAAUGGCCUGCUCCCAUACUUCAGUAAUUUUUGAUCUUUUGACAUUCAGAUUCAUUCAAUCUGAUCAGGCUUCCCCAUUUCUCUCCUCAUUACCUCUUAAUAAGUGCUUGUUGUUUGACUGCUGUCAUCUGCCAACCUCUAGCUCACUCUCCCAUUGGACGAAGAGCCUUCCUCUUUUCUUUAUCCACUGCCAUUGUCCUUAGUCACUUCAGUAUGUGAUAUAUGGAGAAGUUUUCAGACCCUUUGACCUCCCACUCCUCAGCUUCCUGAACUUCACCCUCUGUUUCCACUGUACUUCAGCCAUCCUUGGGCUUCGCCACAUGGAACUGUGUCACCAUUGAGAUCCCAAAAUCUAGAAUUGUGUUCUCACUCAGACCACAGUCACCUAGCCUUCCAGUCUCCCUCUGCCAUGCUCAAAAUAAGCUUGGUCUUUGACCUCUGCUUGCCCUCCUGCCUAGUCUUCCACUCAAACUUCACUCUCCUCCCUAUCUGAUUUUGACAAAUGAGACUGCCACUUAAUCACCGUUCUAAAAUCCCUUGCUAUUCCCAUAUACUCCCCAAAACCUCUUGCCCACUGAAGCUUGCUAAUCCUCCCCCCUCUCCCCCACCAAUAAAUGCCCCACCAUCCAAUUUCCCCAUUCAUUCCCACAUCCUUGAAUACUACUGAAGCAAGUCAUACUGAUUUUGCCCACUAUGAACUUAUGGUGCAUAACAUUAGCUCACUGCUGCUAGGCAAUCUUUCUAUUUAGCUCUAGUUGAUUCCAAAUCUCAUUCCAUGCAGUGGCUAUUUUAAACUUUGUCCUUUCUCAUCAAGGACUGACAACCAACACAUAGCAGACAACCUAAACUCUUGGUUCAACGAGUUGCUUCAACUUUCCCCUCUAUACCUCAAAAGUUCUUAAUAUCUACACCCAUUUCAUCCUUCUUCUCCUGUUUUAAAAGACAGAGCUUCUCUGCUCCUUCCAAAAACUAAUGGUUCUUCUUGGGUCGGUGAUGCUAUCACAGAAUUUCUUCAUUUGAAGGGACCGCAGAUGUCAUCUCCUUUGAUCCAUCCCUGAACAACAAUCACCCUGCUUACAAUGUAUGCCAUUUUAUACCAUUCACUACCCAUGAUGUAACGAUUGCACCUGCCAGGCCUUGCAGAACUCUCAGAAAUGGUUUAUCUGGGCUUGAUGGCUUGAACUUAACAAGGGCAGCCAGAUGUUCUUUUAUUUAACUUUGAUUUUUUUUUCAUUAACAUACUUUACCUUGCCGUUUUCUUAGCUUUUGUACAGUUUGUCACUUAAUUUUUUUUUUAUCUUUAUUAAAUCCCUAUCAGUUACUAUUUGUCUCCUCUAGUCCAAAAAUUACUGUUCUUAGUAGAGGAAAGGGGUACAAAAUCAAAAGUUAAAUAGCUCCGUCUUCAAUUUCCUAUUAUCCAUACCCAAUCUACCCUGAGAAGUCAUCCUAUCCCUUCUCUGAUCCUCUUUUCUUCCACACAAUAACUAAAAGAACAAAAAGUCAGCUUUUUGUCUUACUUAGCUGUCUUUGCCAUCCUCAACUCAUUCUGAUCUUUAGCACUCCUGACACUGUCCUUAAUUUUGCAUUCAUCUUCUGUUGCCUUUCUUUGCUUCCAACUUUUGUGCAUGUUUUUGAAGUCUAAGUUGGUUGAUUAUCUCCCUUCCUUGUCCUCUAGGACCUUGGUCCUGUAAUCACCCCCUCUAGCUCAUUCAGCGUACAACUUUCUCUUUCCUCUACUUCUUUCUCAGCUAUCUACAGUCAUGUUCAGGUAACUUAUUUUUUAAAGCCUUCUCUUGAUUGUUCUCACCUUUCCCAUUUCCAUCUCAUCUCUCUCUUCCCCUUCAGAGCCACUUUUUGCACAACUAGUCUUAACCUUACCCCAUCUUUGACUGACCACCUGCUCUCUGCACAACCCUCUGUACUGUUUUCUCAUCAUUUGCUCCAUCACUGCUAUCAUCUCAUUUUACCGAUGAGGAAAUUAGGACUUAGACAAUUUAAGUGACUUGAUGAAGGUCACCUAGCUAGUCAGUGGCAGAGCUCUGAACAGAUCUCUAAUCUCCUGAGUCAGUAUCCAUUAGGGAUGUUUUUUCUGCUGUUAUUAUUGUUGUUUCUCAUGUCUAAAUAUCAUUUCUUUGACCUGAGAGCUAGUCACAAUUUAUAAAAUUUGCAUUUUGGGUUUCUGAAGGGGUAGAAAAUGACUGAUCAGUAAGGUCAAAAGAACCUCGUGUGUUUUGGAAAAUUGGAAGUCAGAAUGAUACCAGAAUAUUACUUGAUGAGAACCUCUGCGUGCCAACAUUCAUAAGUUUAAAAAAAAAAAAGUACAGUAUGGAAAGAGCAGUGCAGCUCAGGUGAGAGCAAUAGUACUAAACUAAUUACAAGAGACAAUUGAUUUCAUUAUAAGUAAGAAAAAACACAAAACUUGUUUUGCUUUUUCAUUGUCACAGUUUACCUCCCCCACUUCCUUAGCAUUUUGACUGUUUCUCAUUUAACUCUGUUAUGCAGCCUGAAGCCUCUCAUAGACAUCCCAGGAUACGUGAU